AGGAUGAACGCUGGCGGUAUGCUUUACACAUGCAAGUCGUACGAGAGUUUUUAACUCAAGUGGCGGACGGGUGAGUAACACGUAAGAAUUUGCCUUUAGGAGGGGAUAACAACUGGAAACGGUUGCUAAUACCCCAUAUGCUUUCGAGUGAAAUGGAUUUUUCCGCCUAAAGAGAAGCUUGCGGCUGAUUAGCUUGUUGGUGAGGUAAUGGCUUACCAAGGCGACGAUCAGUAUCUGGUUUGAGAGGACGAUCAGACACACUGGAACUGAGACACGGUCCAGACUCCUACGGGAGGCAGCAGUGGGGAAUUUUCCGCAAUGGGCGAAAGCCUGACGGAGCAAUACCGCGUGAGGGAUGACGGCCUAUGGGUUGUAAACCUCUUUUUCAGGGAGGAAUCAAUGACGUGUACCUGAAGAAUAAGCAUCGGCUAACUCCGUGCCAGCAGCCGC
rnacentral:rRNA from 1 species